rnacentral:rRNA from 1 species
UACGUAGGGUGCAAGCGUUGUCCGGAAUUAUUGGGCGUAAAGAGCUCGUAGGCGGUCUGUUGCGUCGGCUGUGAAAACCCGAGGCUCAACCUCGGGCCUGCAGCCGAUACGGGCAGGCUAGAGUUCGGCAGGGGAGACUGGAAUUCCUGGUGUAGCGGUGAAAUGCGCAGAUAUCAGGAGGAACACCGGUGGCGAAGGCGGGUCUCUGGGCCGAUACUGACGCUGAGGAGCGAAAGCGUGGGGAGCGAACAGG